CGGUUGUCGACUGUCGACUGUCGUCAGUGUCACAAACAGGCUCCUUGAUAAAUGUGUACAUUCCAUGAUAUUUAGAUACUUUCUAUUGACAUUUGUGGAUAAUGUUAUACGAUUUGGCAGCGCAAUGCGCAUGCUUACAGCUCUGCUUACAGUAUUUUUCUAAACUGCGAACUGUGGAACGGUCUUGUGCGAUGAAAAAUACUAAAAAGAUGAAUGUCAAGACAAAGCUUCCAGACUCAACUGAGGUAAGGGAUACUAAACAUUCUUAUUUUGGUAGUACAUGCUGCAUUUUGGCAACAAGAAAUUCUUUAAAGUCAUAAAUAUAAAUAAAAAUAUUCACUCCUACUGUAUGUCGUAUUAAAUGUCGAUCUUAUAUUCUUGACUAGCAAAAUAUAUUCUUGUGUGAAAGGUCCCUACAAUGUUCUGAAGAGUUUAGGCUAUGUAGUGUUGAGGCUAUCGGGUUAUUAAAUAUAUUUCAAUGUUUUGAAGAGUUUAGGAAAUGUAGUAUUGAAGCUGUCGUGUUUAUAAUUUACUAUACACGUUUAGUACGCAACUACCGGAAACGGCAGCCAUGUGGUAGUAUUAAGACAAAGAAUCUCAUUAUUUUUUACUGAAUUUCGCACAUUCUUUUAAUUCUCAAGGGAUUGGUUGCAAGACAAGAAUAUAAUCUAUGAUAUAUAGUGAUGUUAACAAAUAACAGAAACGUCAGCUUCUUGAACUCACAGCCAGCUUGGGUUUGCUUGCUUUGCUCUUUCUACUGCCCUUGUGUGUUAUGUAUCGAUCAAUUCGAAACUUCACCAUCCCCCCCUGGGCCGACCCCGGGAAUUUGAACUUUUUGAAAUUUGACUGAUCAAAUUCUCCACCCCCUGUGCAAAAAAUGUCUUCAAAUGCCCCACUGUAACAAGAAAUUAAGCGUUCAAAUGCCCCACCUUCAUAUGAAAAUUAUGAAACAGUAAAUACAAAAAGUACAAAAUAUACGGAAAUGUUUUUCGACAGGAUAGCGAAAUCCACGUAAAAAGUUCGGAUACCUUCUGGAAAUUUAACAGUUUUACACAAUUAUGUAGUACAUACCUUCAAAUGAAGCACGUAGAUUUUCCAUGCCCGUUUCUUUGAGCCAGUUUUUCACAAAAUUGAGGCCGUUUCCCUCGAAAUCUGAGAAAACUGUAUUUGCCGCCAGUGCGAAGUAUUUUCUGUUCAUGCAGGAAGCACGCGAAAACGGGCAAAAUGUUAAGACUUCCGGUUCAAAUUCCCCACUCCGUUAUCAAAUGCCCAACCACAUGGAAGACCUAGAACGUCAAAUUACCUACUUCCUAGAGAAGACUUGAAGUCAAAUUCCCGGGGUAUGCCCGGGGGGGGGGGCGGAUGGUGCAGUUUCGAAUUGAUCGAUACAUUAAUAGAUACUAUGUGUUGUGUAAUGUAUUUAAUUCAACCCUACUAGGACUCUGGGCAGAAUACCUACCAAGCCACUCAAACAUGCUUUUGGGACCUCUAUUAUUACAAUGAUGGGCCAAACAGAAUUGGUGUGUCAGAAUUAAUAUCCUAUUUCUGUCUCUUAUAGGUUAUGGCACUUUCUUAUGAAAAUUCAAUGUAAAGUUUGGACAUUAGGAC
rnacentral:lncRNA from 1 species